rnacentral:rRNA from 1 species
AGAGUUCGUUCCUGGCUCAGAUUGAACGCUGGCGGCAGGCCUAACACAUGCAAGUCGAACGGUAACAGGAAGAAGCUUGCUUCUUUGCUGACGAGUGGCGGACGGGUGAGUAAUGUCUGGGAAACUGCCUGAUGGAGGGGGAUAACUACUGGAAACGGUAGCUAAUACCGCAUAACGUCGCAAGACCAAAGAGGGGGACCUUCGGGCCUCUUGCCAUCGGAUGUGCCCAGAUGGGAUUAGCUUGUUGGUGGGGUAACGGCUCACCAAGGCGACGAUCCCUAGCUGGUCUGAGAGGAUGACCAGCCACACUGGAACUGAGACACGGUCCAGACUCCUACGGGAGGCAGCAGUGGGGAAUAUUGCACAAUGGGCGCAAGCCUGAUGCAGCCAUGCCGCGUGUAUGAAGAAGGCCUUCGGGUUGUAAAGUACUUUCAGCGGGGAGGAAGGGAGUAAAGUUAAUACCUUUGCUCAUUGACGUUACCCGCAGAAGAAGCACCGGCUAACUCCGUGCCAGCGGCCGCGGUAAUACGGAGGGUGCAAGCGUUAAUCGGAAUUACUGGGCGUAAAGCGCACGCAGGCGGUUUGUUAAGUCAGAUGUGAAAUCCCCGGGCUCAACCUGGGAACUGCAUCUGAUACUGGCAAGCUUGAGUCUCGUAGAGGGGGGUAGAAUUCCAGGUGUAGCGGUGAAAUGCGUAGAGAUCUGGAGGAAUACCGGUGGCGAAGGCGGCCCCCUGGACGAAGACUGACGCUCAGGUGCGAAAGCGUGGGGAGCAAACAGGAUUAGAUACCCUGGUAGUCCACGCCGUAAAACGAUGUCGACUUGGAGGUUGUGCCCUUGAGGCGUGGCUUCCGGAGCUAACGCGUUAAGUCGACCGCCUGGGGAGUACGGCCGCAAGGUUAAAACUCAAAUGAAUUGACGGGGGCCCGCACAAGCGGUGGAGCAUGUGGUUUAAUUCGAUGCAACGCGAAGAACCUUACCUGGUCUUGACAUCCACGGAAGUUUCCAGAGAUGGAUUGGUGCCUUCGGGAACUGUGAGACAGGUGCUGCAUGGCUGUCGUCAGCUCGUGUUGUGAAAUGUUGGGUUAAGUCCCGCAACGAGCGCAACCCUUAUCCUUUGUUGCCAGCGGUCCGGCCGGGAACUCAAAGGAGACUGCCAGUGAUAAACUGGAGGAAGGUGGGGAUGACGUCAAGUCAUCAUGGCCCUUACGACCAGGGCUACACACGUGCUACAAUGGCGCAUACAAAGAGAAGCGACCUCGCGAGAGCAAGCGGACCUCAUAAAGUGCGUCGUAGUCCGGAUUGGAGUCUGCAACUCGACUCCAUGAAGUCGGAAUCGCUAGUAAUCGUGGAUCAGAAUGCCACGGUGAAUACGUUCCCGGGCCUUGUACACACCGCCCGUCA